rnacentral:lncRNA from 12 species
CCCCCCCCCCCCCCCCCCCCCCCCCCCCCCCCCCCCCCCCCCCCCCCCCCCAAAAAACACUUCCCAGCAACAGACCCAGAUGACAGAAACAGUUUUCACCGAUUGGGAGACGAUCCUCUUGCUGGGAAGGGCAGAGAGCUUCUUGGGCAGGCGUCCAGAGGGAGUUUCUGGGACCCAGAUCCGUCCUUCUGGAGCCGGUGCUGGUCUUCGGGGGGGUCGAGGGGUAGGGAGGGGAAGAAGAGAGAGGAAGAAGGGAGCCGGCAGCGAAGCAGCACAGCAGCAAAGCCGGGUUGGGGGGGGCAGCAGCAAAAGCCGGGGCAAGCAGCAGCGAAGCAGCGAGCAGCCAGCGGCAAAAGCAGCAGCAGCAGGGAGGAGGGGCCGGAGCCACCACGGCCGCAGACAGCGGGGGCAGGGAGAGGAGCUAGACAUAACAUCAACCCAGGACAGUCUUUCACUCAGCCCAUGCACCUCUGAGGUGGAAAACAUUUAGCCUGGUGGUCAGCAGGUGGAUUUUAUAGACUAGCAACAGGUAAGUGUUCAUGCCUUCAUUUUCAUUCACAAUGCGAUCCCCUGAGAGAUGUAAGGCUUUUUUCCCCAGUUUCCC